GAGAGGCGACGUCGCAAGGAGAGAUUCCUAUUGCCGCAGGAUGAUGCCCCGAGCAGGUCUCAGUCAGGAGGAGCACAGCAUACGACGGAGAUAGGAUCGAGCAGCCUGGCUCGACUCCCAUGUUUGCCCAUCCAUGAUCAGCAGGCGAUUGCCCCAGGGCAUGGGGGCGAGGAGAUCCAAAAGCUCUCGGAGUUUGGAGGAGGUCGAAUAUCGAGUCGAGGUGGAGAUUGUUAGGAUUUGAUGCCUCGAGAUUCAGUCCAUAUUGAGCCCACAGCGAGG
rnacentral:lncRNA from 1 species